rnacentral:other from 1 species
GACUCUCUGCCCUGCAGGUGAGGUCAGAACGUCCACUCGGAAUAGCGAAACAUUCGGGAUCGUCUCAGAGGACCGGUGUGCCAGCCCACCUUGGAGUGGGACGCCUGAAGGGCCUACAGCUGAUCCCACCUUAUUGGCACUCGAUGUGAGUCCAAUGACCCACGGCAGAGUGGAGAGUCG